rnacentral:rRNA from 1 species
CCUACGGGAGGCAGCAGUGAGGAAUAUUGGUCAAUGGACGAGAGUCUGAACCAGCCAAGUAGCGUGAAGGAUGACUGCCCUAUGGGUUGUAAACUUCUUUUAUAAAGGAAUAAAACGAGGCACGUGUGCCUUUUUGCAUGUACUUUAUGAAUAAGGAUCGGCUAACUCCGUGCCAGCAGCCGCGGUAAUACGGAGGAUCCGAGCGUUAUCCGGAUUUAUUGGGUUUAAAGGGAGCGUAGAUGGGUUGUUAAGUCAGUUGUGAAAGUUUGCGGCUCAACCGUAAAAUUGCAAUUGAUACUGGGAGGCGUGAGUACAGUUGAGGUAGGCGGAAUUCGUGGUGUAGCGGUGAAAUGCUUAGAUAUCAGGAAGAACCCCGAUUGCGAAGGCAGCUUACUAAACUGUGACUGACAUUGAUGCUCGAAAGUGUGGGGAUCAAACAGGAUUAGAUACCCCAGUAGUC